UCACGCAUGAUAACUUGAAAAGAAAAUUGAACAGGACGAUGAAUUAGGCUUAUGCAUGAGAAGCACCCUGGUGGAUAUCAGCCAUUCACAAAUCACAGCUAUGGACAGCCUCUCCUGCAUCCAGAUGUUGAACAGGGGUGGUUCAGUCUAGGUUGUGCUAAAUAAAUAGGGAGAGCCUGACCACCAUACUACAUAAAGCGGGGGUGCUCUGACCUCAGGCAGAAGAGACUUUUUAUGAGCACGUUGGACGUGUGAAUGGGCUGCCAACAGAUGAAGUAAAAAUACUUCCAUCACUCUCCCUACCACCUCCAAGAAGCAGAUGAAAAUACUUGCAGGCCAGGGCUGAAAUCUACACAAGUGUGCUUCUACUUAAAGAAAUGAAAGUUAAUUGUAAAACAGCCACAGGCCGGUCCUUCAGGAAUUAUUCCUGAAGAAGGCACUGUUAUCAUAGGAGAUGACAGCUCCAUGCAUGUUAUUGGCCCCGAAGACCUUCCAGUGAGACAGCAUGUGGAGGUGGAAGACAGUGACGCUGAUGAUCCUGACUCUACGUAGGCUCAGGCUAAUAGGUGUAUUUGUGUCUUCGUUUUUGAUACAAAAAUGUAAGAUAUAAAAAUAUUUUAAAUAGAAAAUGCUUAUAGAAUAAAAAUAUAAAGAAAACGUUUUUGUACAUUCAUAUAUGUUUGUGUUUUAAGCCAAGUGUUAUUACAAAAC
rnacentral:lncRNA from 1 species